rnacentral:rRNA from 1 species
GACGAACGCUGGCGGCGUGCUUAACACAUGCAAGUCGAACGGAAAGGCCCUGCUUUUGUGGGGUGCUCGAGUGGCGAACGGGUGAGUAACACGUGAGUAACCUGCCCUUGACUUUGGGAUAACUUCAGGAAACUGGGGCUAAUACCGGAUAGGAGCUCCUGCUGCAUGGUGGGGGUUGGAAAGUUUCGGCGGUUGGGGAUGGACUCGCGGCUUAUCAGCUUGUUGGUGGGGUAGUGGCUUACCAAGGCUUUGACGGGUAGCCGGCCUGAGAGGGUGACCGGCAACAUGGGGACUGGGAUACGGCCCGGACUCCUACGGGAGGAAGCGGUGGGGAAUAUUGCACAAGGGGCGGAAGCCUGAUGCAGCACCGCCGCGUGGGGGAUGACGGCCUUCGGGUUGUAAACCGCUUUCGCUUGUGACGAAGCGUGAGUAACGGUAAUGGGUAAAGAAGCACCGGCUAACUACGU